UUAAAAAUUGAAACUUUGAAUGGAACUUAUUUAACUUGUUAUUUCACGAAGAAAGUUUCAUUAACGAUUAGAUGCAAAAAUAUUUAUUUUGCCUAUAAUUUUGUCUCAGUGUAUGAGAUUCGAUUUAUGACCGUAUUAAUGAUUAUAUGAUUGAGGGAGUCUUCAACAGAAGCAGGAGACAAUGUGUGCAAAAUGCUUGCUUCACUUUUCAUUAUUUCUUCUUUGCUUGGCCGAUAAUUAGCAUCAUUUGUUUUGAGAUAAUAAAGCUAAAAGAAUAAUAAAGUCUGUUCCAGGCAACCUUGACUUUAUUAACAUUGCGGCAAUGAGCACGCUCCAAUGUGAUUGGUAGAGCUCCAGGACAUGUGACAUCAAGAACAUGGGAGAAGUCACUGUUGCAAUCUGCUAGUCUGGAAAUUGCCUAAAAAAACUGUACGAAGAGUUGAGUAUAAUAUUCAACCUGUUUGUGUUGCUAUAGGUGCGUAACCACAAGCUUGACUGCUGAUUGGAUAGAAUGUUAAAUAACUGCUAUUUUCCUGCGUAGGCACAGUAUUUUAAGAGAGUUUUCACUGCAUGUGUGAUAUAUCUGCAACAAGUUUAUGAGGAAAUAAAAUGA